CAGCGAGGUUGUGCCCUUGAGGCGUGGCUUCCGGAGCUAACGCGUUAAAUCGACCGCCUGGGGAGUACGGCCGCAAGGUUAAAACUCAAAUGAAUUGACGGGGGCCCGCACAAGCGGUGGAGCAUGUGGUUUAAUUCGAUGCAACGCGAAGAACCUUACCUGGUCUUGACAUCCACAGAACUUUCCAGAGAUGGAUUGGUGCCUUCGGGAACUGUGAGACAGGUGCUGCAUGGCUGUCGUCAGCUCGUGUUGUGAAAUGUUGGGUUAAGUCCCGCAACGAGCGCAACCCUUAUCCUUUGUUGCCAGCGGUUCGGCCGGGAACUCAAAGGAGACUGCCAGUGAUAAACUGGAGGAAGGUGGGGAUGACGUCAAGUCAUCAUGGCCCUUACGACCAGGGCUACACACGUGCUACAAUGGCAUAUACAAAGAGAAGCGACCUCGCGAGAGCAAGCGGACCUCAUAAAGUAUGUCGUAGUCCGGAUUGGAGUCUGCAACUCGACUCCAUGAAGUCGGAAUCGCUAGUAAUCGUAGAUCAGAAUGCUACGGUGAAUACGUUCCCGGGCCUUGUACACACCGCCCGUCACACCAUGGGAGUGGGUUGCAAAAGAAGUAGGUAGCUUAACCUUCGGGAGGGCGCUUACCACUUUGUGAUUCAUGACUGGGGUGAAGUCGUACAAAGGGGGAACCGGGAAUUGG
rnacentral:rRNA from 1 species